rfam:Cricetulus griseus cell line CHO-K1, whole genome shotgun sequence.
UAGGGGAGUCGGGGCUCGGUCCCCCUCCCCGAGCCCAGGGUAACUCUCUCUGUGGAGGGGAA